GAAGAUCGUGAACCUGUCUUCUGAGCACUGUAACAUAUCAGAUUGGCUGAGGCUAGAAGCAACAGUGAAGGCCCCUGUCUAUGUGGUCACCUUCUCGUUUGCCACAGUCAUCACUGUCAUCAUUCUGGCAAUAGUAUUACAGAAUUCAAAGGUAAAGAAGAUUCUUGCUUCCUCUUCAUGCAUCCGCCAUGAUUGUGUUCUAAGUCUUGCCCCUCUCCAAUCCCAACUUUGAGAAGACAAAGCAUCACUUUUUCUUUUCCAGUGUUCAAGUAUCUUUCCAGGGAAGGCAUCAAGUCUUAGUACCUUUGUCCCCCAGGGGACCCAACAUGGGGCCUGGUGGACUGCAGGUCCUCAGAUUAAGAAACGGAUUCAUCAACCAAUAAAACAUACCUUUCUACAAACC